UAGUCACAUCCAAUGUGAGUCUCAAGAUCAGAUGUUUCUUCCUCUAUCUCACUAGAGAAAAAGAAGUCCCUUUCCAGCUCCUGGAUAGAUAAUGUAAAAAUUUUCAAUGGGAAAAAAGGAGAACCCACCUUAUUUGCAAUUCCUUUCUGGUCCACUCAGGCAUGCUGGCAAAUGGGGAGUCCGAAUGCACGGAGCAAAGAGGCAAGACAAGAGCCAAGCAAUUCCAGAAUACAGUUAAAUGUAAGUAAUUCUGAAGAUGGUUGUAGUGUAAAUCAGCAGGAUGAAGUUCACAAUUUCUGUUAUUCCUUUAUAAGAAAUUCUACCAAGUAUAUAAUUAAGGAAGCAGUUUCUUACUGUCAUUGAUAUGUUAGGUGUGAAUGCAAAUUUCCCAUUGACUUAAAUAAGCCAUGAUUUUUAAAAUGUAUGACUUAAAUUAACAUUUUUUCCUUUUUUUUUUUAGAGUAGAUAAUGGUAGAUAAGUAGAUAAAGUAGAUAAGGG
rnacentral:lncRNA from 1 species